UAAGAGAGAUUAAGACCGCAUAAUAUAUUGAAGUGGCAUCGCUUUAAUAUCAAAUAUUUAUAGGAUCAAGAUGGGCAUGCGGAACAUUAGCUAGUUGGUAAGGUAACGGCUUACCAAGGCUACGAUGUUUAGGGGAUCUGAGAGGAUGACCCCCCACACUGGUACUGAGACACGGACCAGACUCCUACGGGAGGCAGCAGUAAGGAAUAUUGGUCAAUGGGCGGAAGCCUGAACCAGCCAUGCCGCGUGCAGGAAGACGGCCCUACGGGUUGUAAACUGCUUUUGUACGGGAAUAAACCUACUUAUGUAUAAGUAGCUGAAUGUACUGUAAGAAUAAGGAUCGGCUAACUCCGUGCCAGCAGCCGCGGUAAUACGGAGGAUCCAAGCGUUAUCCGGAUUUAUUGGGUUUAAAGGGUGCGUAGGCGGCCUGUUAAGUCAGGGGUGAAAGACGGUAGCUCAACUAUCGCAGUGCCCUUGAUACUGAUGGGCUUGAAUGUACUUGAGGUAGGCGGAAUGUGACAAGUAGCGGUGAAAUGCAUAGAUAUGUCACAGAACACCAAUUGCGAAGGCAGCUUACUAAAGUAUGAUUGACGCUGAGGCACGAAAGCGUGGGGAUCAAACAGGAUUAGAUACCCUGGUAGUCCACGCCCUAAACGAUGAACACUCGAUGUUGGCGAUAUACGGUCAGCGUCUAAGCGAAAGCGUUAAGUGUUCCACCUGGGGAGUACGCCCGCAAGGGUGAAACUCAAAGGAAUUGACGGGGCCCGC
rnacentral:rRNA from 1 species